AAACACUUAACAAUGGUGCUGAACUGAAAGAAAAGUCAAGGAGAGAUUACAUAUUUGUAAUUGUGUAUUCCUCUUUAUGUGCAUUCAUUCUGACUGCAUUUGAAAAGAGAUAAAUGAUUUUUUUGCCUUUUCUAAUUUUGUGCCAUCUGUACUUUACUCACAUCAUUAGAGUAAAUAAGAGGAAUCUCGAUUUGAACUAUAUUAAGCUUUGGCAUCCCAUGCAGCUCAUUUUCCAGGAAGUCAGCAUCAUAUAAUCAAAAAAGUGUAAUGGUUUGGAAGAUGGAAGAAAUGAACUUUGUAUUCUCCUACUAGAUCUUCGUAUGACCCUGGAAAAGUUGCAGAUACCUGUGAUAAAGGGAUUCCUCCUCCACAAAUUGAGACGAUUUGGAAACAUUAAGGAGAUUCAGCUAAGGAAUAAAACAUGCACUACCGUACUGUGCCUUUUCAAACACAACAGAAAAACACUGUAGCUAUUGCAAAAUCAUAAUACUUGAAGGCCCAGAAGCACUAACCUAAAAGGAGAAGAAGAAGCAAACAACUGGACAUAAACAUGUUUUUCCCAGCUACUCAGCAAAAACAAUGAAAAAAAAUUGUCUAGAACUCCAUCUCAGACUAAGGCAUCUUUC
rnacentral:lncRNA from 1 species